rnacentral:rRNA from 1 species
UACGUAGGUGGCAAGCGUUGUCCGGAUUUAUUGGGUUUAAAGGGUGCGUAGGCGGCCUAUUAAGUCAGUGCUGAAAUCUCCCGGCUUAACCGGGAGGGUGGCAUUGAUACUGAUGGGCUUGAGUAAAGUUGAGGUAGGCGGAAUUGACGGUGUAGCGGUGAAAUGCUUAGAUAUCGUCAAGAACACCUAUUGCGAAGGCAGCUUACUAAGCUUUAACUGACGCUGAUGCACGAAAGUGUGGGGAUCAAACAGG